UACGUAGGGAGCAAGCGUUGUCCGGAAUCAUUGGGCGUAAAGCGCGCGUAGGCGGCUCGAUCAGUCUGUUGUGAAAGUCAAAGGCUCAACCUUUGAAUGCCGAUGGAUACUGUCGAGCUAGAGUCCGGAAGAGGCGAGUGGAAUUCCCGGUGUAGCGGUGAAAUGCGCAGAUAUCGGGAGGAACACCAAUGGCGAAGGCAGCUCGCUGGGACGGUACUGACGCUGAGACGCGAAAGCGUGGGGAGCAAACAGG
rnacentral:rRNA from 1 species